UAGGCCUACGGGGGGCAGCAGUGGGGAAUAUUGGGCAAUGGACGCAAGCCUGACCCAGCAACGCCGCGUGAAGGAAGAAGGCUUUCGGGUUGUAAACUUCUUUUCUCAGGGACGAAGCAAGUGACGGUACCUGAGGAAUAAGCCACGGCUAACUACGUGCCAGCAGCCGCGGUAAUACGUAGGUGGCAAGCGUUAUCCGGAUUUACUGGGUGUAAAGGGCGUGUAGGCGGGACUGCAAGUCAGAUGUGAAAACCACGGGCUCAACAUGUGGCCUGCAUUUGAAACUGUAGUUCUUGAGUACUGGG
rnacentral:rRNA from 1 species